rfam:Bacteroides stercoris strain CL09T03C01 AA415_contig0110, whole genome shotgun sequence.
CAGGAAAAGAAAAUAAAUAAUGAUUCCCCUAGUAGUGGCGAGCGAACGGGGACCAGCCCAAACCACCUAUGUUACGGCAUAUGUGGGGUUGUAGGACCACGUUGUGGCAAGAAAACCGGUGAGUAGAAUGUUCUGGAAAGUUCAACCAUAGAGCAUGAUAGUUGCGUAUACGAAGCCAGUCGAAGCCUAGUGGUAUCCUGAGUAGCGCGGAGCACGAGGAAUUCUGCGUGAAU